rnacentral:rRNA from 3 species
AAAGAAACCAACAGGGAUUGCCCUAGUAACGGCGAGUGAAGCGGCAACAGCUCAAAUUUGAAAUCUGGCCCUCGGGUCCGAGUUGUAAUUUGUAGAGGAUGCUUUUGGUGAGGUACCUUCCGAGUUCCCUGGAACGGGACGCCAUAGAGGGUGAGAGCCCCGUCUGGUUGGAUACCAAACCUCUGUAAAGCUCCUUCGACGAGUCGAGUAGUUUGGGAAUGCUGCUCUAAAUGGGAGGUAUAUGUCUUCUAAAGCUAAAUACCGGCCAGAGACCGAUAGCGCACAAGUAGAGUGAUCGAAAGAUGAAAAGCACUUUGAAAAGAGAGUUAAAAAGUACGUGAAAUUGUUGAAAGGGAAGCGCUUAUGACCAGACUUGGACUUGGUUGAUCAUCCUGGGUUCUCCCUGGUGCACUCUUCCAGUUCAGGCCAGCAUCAGUUCGCUGCGGGGGAUAAAAGUUUUGGGAAUGUGGCUCCCUCGGGAGUGUUAUAGCCCAUUUCAUAAUACCCUGCUCCGGACUGAGGUUCGCGCAUCUGCAAGGAUGCUGGCGUAAUGGUCAUCAGCGACCCGUCUUGAAACACGGACCAAGGAGUCGUCUUCGUAUGCGAGUGUUCGGGUGUUAAACCCCUACGCGUAAUGAAAGUGAACGCAGGUGAGAGCUUCGGCGCAUCAUCGACCGAUCCUGAUGUUCUCGGAUGGAUUUGAGUAAGAGCAUACGGGGCCGGACCCGAAAGAAGGUGAACUAUGCCUGUAUAGGGUGAAGCCAGAGGAAACUCUGGUGGAGGCUCGCAGCGGUUCUGACGUGCAAAUCGAUCGUCAAAUAUGGGCAUGGGGCGAAAGACUAAUCGAACCUUCUAGUAGCUGGUUUCCGCCGAAGUUUCCCUCAGGA